AUCAAAAUCUUCAUUGUACUAUAAAUAAUACAUACACGAAACGAACCUUACAAAGUGAACAACAUAGGAGGAAUCUUAAGUGUCAUAAUAAUCCUAGUUUUUCUUUAUUUUCACUUAGACCUAGGCGUUCCCUAUUGUGUGAUUAGGAACGAAACUGCAAAAAAAUAGUCAUCACUUUUUCUCUCCCUUCUUUGGCCAGUGAAGAAUGAGAGACGAACUUCACCUAACUCAGUAAGAAGGAUUUUACACUCAAAGUCAUCAUCAUCAUCAUCAUGUUUAGGAACUGUUCACACACAGCAGAUAGAUGUACAACCCGCGCCUGGUGUCACUGCCGCCCAAUCUCUCUGAAGUUAGCCAUGGGGGUAAGCAUCAGAGAGCCGCACCACAACAGACUUAAUGUGGACAAUUUGCUGUCAUAUCGGUAUACAAGCGUGUGGGAUUUUGUUGCGUAUCCCUAAAAUUAAGGUUUUGUGGGGUUAAGAGUAGCUUGUGGAGAACGAGGAUGAAGUUCUUGAGAUUGAUUGCGAGGUUCUGGGUGUUGAGGAGAAAGUCUUGGUGGUUGAGGAGGAAUUCGGGGUGUUGAGGAGGAGAUGCGGGGGUUGAUAAGAUAUUCGGGGUGUUGAGGAGGAGAUGCGGGGGUUGAUAAGAUAGUCGGGGUGUUGAGGAGGAGGUGCGGGGGUUGAUAAGAUAUUCGGGGGGUUAAGGAGGAGGUGCGGGGGUUGAUAAGAUAUUCGGGGGGUUAAGGAGGAGGUGCGGGGGUUGAUAAGAUAUUCGGGGGGUUAAGGAGGAGGAUUGGGGGUUGAUAAGAUAUUCGGGGUGUUGAGGAGGAGGUGCGGGGGUUGAUAAGAUAUUCGGGGUGUUGAGGAGGAGGUGCGGGGGUUGAUAAGAUAUUCGGGGUGUUGAGGAGGAGGUGCGGGGGUUGAUAAGAUAUUCGGGGGGUUGAGGAGGAGGUGCGGGGGUUGAUAAGAUAUUCGGGGGUUGAGGUGGAGGUACGGGGGUUGAUAAGAUAUUCGGGGGGUUGAGGAGGAGGUGCGGGGGUUGAUAAGAUAUUCGGGGUGUUGAGGAGGAGGUGCGGGGGUUGAUAAGAUAUUCGGGGUGUUGAGGAGGAGGUGCGGGGGUUGAUAAGAUAUUCGGGGUGUUGAGGAGGAGGUGCGGGGGUUGAUAAGAUAUUCGGGGGGUUGAGGAGGAGGUGCGGGGGUUGAUAAGAUAUUAGGGGGGGUUGAGGUGGAGGUGCGGGGGUUGAUAAGAUAUUCGGGGUGUUGAGGAGGAGGUGCAGGGGUUGAUAAGAUAUUCGGGGUGUUGAGGAGGAGGUGCGGGGGUUGAUAAGAUAUUCGGGGGUUGAGGAGGAGGUUUGGGGGUUGCAGGAGGCGAGGGAUACAACGUGCCUGAUUCAGUAUGGCAACGGAAAUUGCAUCCAUUGACUAACAUUAAGAGGCUAUAUAUCAAUGUUUUUUUUUUUUUUUUUUUUUCAUACUCUAAGUUACUGCUAUAAACUGAUGCCAGGGAUUUUAGAUUACUUUAUGAUAUUUAGGCUGCAUCUCUUUCUUUUUUCUGUGCGACUGAGAAGUUACUGUUUUCUAUUUUGGGGGGGUUGUGAUUCUUUAUAUACUUAGAAGGAAAUACCCUCCUGCGUGUUUAUGCUUGACCUUGUUUUCUUGAGUGAAUAAUGCAUUUGGGGAUAGAUUUACAGGUUCUGACUUUUUAUUUAGAUGGUUUUAUAAAAUUUUGUCAUCUAUAGUUUUGUUACCAAUAAGUCAUGUGUAACUGUGCUGUCAUUCAACGUACUCUUUUUUUAGAUAUGUAUUAUACGCUCAUUCUACAUCGUUUUCAACUGUUUAGGAGCAUUUGACACCUGAUCCCCGCCUGUACCCAGGAUAUUAUGCACUUGUAAGAGCAGGUGUCAUGGGCGCCAGCCGCUGACGAGCACUCCAGUAAGUGUCCACCUUGAUGGGGUCUCUCGUCGCUCCGCCCAUGCCCCCUGUCCCACCCUGGCAGGAAUGUGAUAAAGCUACAGCAUAGUCCAAAGAGAAACUUGAAUAUCUUACGCUGAUUUAUGUAAUGUCAGUCAACCUUAAGCUGUAAAAACAUUCUUAUCUUUCAGUGUAUUACGUGAUCAUUGAAUUCUCAGGUGUAGAAAUGAACACAUUCUUACCUUAUGCUGUUUAUCGUAUGGUUAGUUAAUCAUUAGGAGUAAACAGGAGAACACAUUAUCUUACACUGUUAUGUGCUUGUUCAGUAAAAACAUUAGAUGUGAAAGAGAAAAUAGUGCAUACAAUCUGAUUGCGUGGGAGUUAAGUGGACCUUCGAACUCGUAAAAUAUUGAAAUUUUAGAAAAAAAAACUCCCAAUGCAGCCGGAUACCUGUUCCUUCUUGUCCAAUGAGAUUUUUGCCGCAAAUUGCAAUUUAAAUGGCAUUUAAAAGCCCUGCGCGCCAUACGUCUUUAAUCAAAUCGCUCGCCUACCAGUUUGUCAUAUUUUUGCAAAUAUAUAGACGUGCGAAAUACUGUAAUAUCAAGACUGUAGGUGAAAAGCUAGAGCCUGUGAAAGGAUAAGAAAAUCAAUUAUAUCCCUGUACUUGGAAGGUCCCUUUAUACGUGCUCUUAGAAAAUAUAUUUACGACAAUGUGUUACGAUGGCUAGCUGAGAAUGAAAAGUUACUUUAGAAAUGACCGUUACUUUAGAAAAAAAAGUAUAUAUUCCCAAGUCAGAGGAUACAUAUGAAGCGACGAAAUGAUAAAUAAGGAAUGUACGGAAAUGAAGCAGGGAAAGCGUCACUUAAUAGCCUACUUUUUGAUACUCAUAAACAAGUAACAAAUGUAGCCUAGCAUAGGUAUUUUAUUUAUAACAUUAGGGAAAAUAAGUUAUAAAAGUUGAAAGUAUAAAAAAUAUGUAUGAACGAAAAAAAAAAAAGACAA